rnacentral:rRNA from 1 species
AACGAACGCUGGCGGCAGGCCUAAAACAUGCAAGUCGAACGGACCUUCGGGUUAGUGGCGCACGGGUGCGUAACGCGUGGGAAUAUGCCCUUCACUGCGGAACAACGUCGGGAAACUGACGCUAAUACCGCAUAAUGACUCCGGUCCAAAGAUUUAUCGGUGAAGGAUUAGCCCGCGUCUGAUUAGGUAGUUGGUGAGGUAACGGCUCACCAAGCCGACGAUCAGUAGGGGGUCUGAGAGGAUGAUCCCCCACACUGGAACUGAGACACGGUCCAGACUCCUACGGGAGGCAGCAGUUAGGAAUAUUGGACAAUGGGGGCAACCCUGAUCCAGCCAUGCCGCGUGUGUGAAGAAGGCCUUAGGGUUGUAAAGCACUUUCAGCUGUGAAGAUAAUGACAGUAGCAGAAGAGGAAGCUCCGGCUAAAUUCGUGCCAGCAGCCGCUGUAACAC